AAAACUUCUAAAUCAGGUGAAACAACAGCUGCGGUGCGCAUCGCAAUAGCAACUCCAACAUCUGCAAAAAAUCAGAUUGUUCCAAUAAAAGCAAUCACUACUUUGGAGGAGACGAAAAUGUCGGAUGCAAUGAUGAAACCUUCCUAUAAUCUACUCGAUACGAGGGCAGAAAGACAUAUAUAUGAAGAAGGGGAGGAAGAGGAUAUAUUAAAUCAAUGUCGGGCAGUCGCGUCAAGAAAAGGUGAUUUGUCACCAAUGCAUAGUAGAACAAGUAAGAAGUCUCGUGAAAGGGAUAGAAGUUGGGACGGUAGGACGCUUGAAGAAGUAAACAUAAGAAGACCCCCAAUGAGAAAUGCAAAACAAAAACAGGUCACUGAAUCUAUUAAGUAGAACAAGUAAGAAGCCUCGUGAAAGGGAUAGAAGUUGGGGCGGCAGGAUGCUUGAAGAAGUAAACAUAAGAAGACCCCCAAUGAGAAAUGCAAAACAAAGACAGGUCACUCAAUCUAUUAUUACAAAGGCCAAUCGAUCGAGGGCAUGAGUUU
rnacentral:lncRNA from 1 species